UGCCCCCUCGUCUAGCGGCAGGACGCCUGACUCUGACUCAGGAAACUAUGGUUCGAAUCCAUGGGGGGCAGCCA
rnacentral:tRNA from 5 species